GGAUGGUUGCUGUUAUAAUGUGAUCAUUCAAGGGUUUCUCAGGCAUGCAGAUGUACCAAAAGCAUCAAAACUUAUUGAAGAAAUGGUUGGCAAGGGAUUUUCUGCAGAUACAACGACCACCGAAUUGGUAAUGUGUUUAUCCCGCAAUGGCCAUCCCAUUUUGAGAAAACUACGAAAUCAAUCUAAAGGUUUUCAUGGUGUAAAUGUGAAGUGAGAUGUUAUCAAUCAAUGCCUGAUCAACUGAUGCAGGAAGUCUUUGUUAUGCUGUAUAUUAUAGGUACUUGGUUCUAUUUCAAUAUGUAUACUAUAACAAUUUUGUCUAGUUAGUUGUACUUGCUUUUUUAAAUGAAACUCUCUAUUAGUAGUAAUAUCAUUAUCCUUUUAAUAGGCUGUAUAUGCUCAUUAACAUCAAUGAAUCUGUUCUAUUGAUACACUGUUCAGAAAAAGCAAGGUAAAGCCAAUUUCCUAUAUACAGUGAGUAUAGUGAAGAUGGUUGUAUUUGGCAUAGGAAAAUGGACAAAACAACUAUUGGGUAAGCAUAUGAACGACUUCAGAUUUCUUACUGCUUUCUCUUUUGAUGUCUUUUCCUUUCUCUACGGAGAAUGCAACUCCUAUUACAUUAUGUGCUAUUUCCAUUGUCAACGCAUUUUGUAAAUUGUUUCAGUUUUGGAAAAUCGUUUCUCAGCGCACUAUGAUGACAUUAAAUUUCAAACUUCUGUUAACUUCCUAAAAGAAAAAUACUCGCAAAACUCACUAUAUAUGUCCUUUUAUUUGGAGGAAUUGUAAUAGUAUUUGGAAUCUCCUAGCAAUAGGUGCUUAAUUCUCUGUGAGUUUACAUAUUUAUGAACCUUCUUCUGUAUAAGAAAUCAGUGCAUAUGGUUGUUUUUAACUUGCAAGCAUCAUGUGAUUGUGAUUCCAUAAGCACAACUCAUAAUGUGCCUAUUCCCUAAUUUGCUUCUUACACAUUAUUCUUGACUUGGUGUUGCAACUGCAAAAUGUAGCAAGUAGUUUGGCAAGAAGAAAAAAAAAAGGGAUAACUAAAAACAUCUAUAGAAUAUUAUGUGUGCAUUGUUAAAUUUAAUGGAAGGGGAAAAAAAGGAUAGUUUUGCUUGCUAUUUCGUGAAAGUGAACCUUCGCGAACUGUCUGAAUGGAUUAUGCAUUAACCAGGGUGGUAGAUAUUUCUAUUACAAGUGUUAGUGAUAUAUAUCCAACAGGCUAGGAAUGAUAUGUUUCUGAAAUUAUAGUUCGAUUUGAUGAAGUUCAUUGAGGUGAUGAGGAGAUGGUCUCCCAUUUUAACUUGGUCUGGGUCUGCCAUUGAGUACCCAAUGGAACAGGCUAUGUGCUUUUGUUUGGGACUGCUAGUCUUAUCAUUUUAUUGGUAUUAUUACCCACACAUUAAUGGAGGUCUCUGAUAAGGGCAGAGAUGAAAAUGGAUGGAGAAACUUGAAGAAAU
rnacentral:misc_RNA from 1 species